rnacentral:rRNA from 1 species
CAGUAGCCGCGGUAACACGGAGGGUGCAAGCGUUAUCCGGAUUUAUUGGGUUUAAAGGGUCCGUAGGCGGACUUAUAAGUCAGUGGUGAAAGCCUGUCGCUUAACGAUAGAACUGCCAUUGAUACUGUAAGUCUUGAGUAUAUUUGAGGUAGCUGGAAUAAGUAGUGUAGCGGUGAAAUGCAUAGAUAUUACUUAGAACACCAAUUGCGAAGGCAGGUUACCAAGAUAUAACUGACGCUGAGGGACGAAAGCGUGGGUAGCGAACAGGAUUAGAUACCCCCGUAGUCCCUGUCUCUUAUAC